GGCGGCAGGCCUAACACAUGCAAGUCGAGCGGCAGCGGAAAGUAGCUUGCUGCUUUGCCGGCGAGCGGCGGACGGGUGAGUAAUGUCUGGGAAACUGCCUGAUGGAGGGGGAUAACUACUGGAAACGGUAGCUAAUACCGCAUGACCUCGCAAGAGCAAAGUGGGGGACCUUCGGGCCUCACGCCAUCGGAUGUGCCCAGAUGGGAUUAGCUAGUAGGUGAGGUAAUGGCUCACCUAGGCGACGAUCCCUAGCUGGUCUGAGAGGAUGACCAGCCACACUGGAACUGAGACACGGUCCAGACUCCUACGGGAGGCAGCAGUGGGGAAUAUUGCACAAUGGGCGCAAGCCUGAUGCAGCCAUGCCGCGUGUGUGAAGAAGGC
rnacentral:rRNA from 1 species